CUUCCUCUCGAGGUAUUAAGAAUGUUUACUCCGUAGAGCAAAAGAAAAAGAAACAGGAAGAAAUAGAAAAAAGAAUUGCAGCUUCAGGUUCUGGAGGAGAAGGAGGACUGAGAUGGCAGGUUGGAUAAAGAAGUAUGAGUUCUGAAGAGAAGAUGGAUGUUUACUGCCAAUAACUUGCCGGUUGCUGCAGCUGAGUGGCACUUACUCAUCAUGUGGCUUUUGCUGUUUGCAUCUGAAGACUCAGCAGUACUUUGCCAUUGUGGGAGAACCGAUGUGGAAACAUACACUAAGAAACUUAGGAACUAACUGAACACUAAAGUUUUGGCCAAAUUGUUUGUUUUAUGUGCAUGUUUUAUUGCUUCCCUGUCAAGGGAGAGAGAGAUGGGUUUUCUCCCAUGGAAGUGGUCUCCAUACUUGUAGUCAGUCUGUAUGUGUGUGCUGUCUGGUCAGUUGAUGUCUGUCUGUCUGUGUAUGACUGGCUUAGGCACAGCUCAGGUGCCCAUGUGUUGUUUUUGACGCUUAUUUCAAGCUCUACAAUUAAACUUUUCUCUUAAGUCCUCACUUAACUGUUCAUAAAUAGAUAUAUUUGAAUAUGUGGGUGACAGCAUUUCUCUUCAGUUUCAGUUUCCAGACUUUUGAACUGCUUAGGGAUUUAGUGCCUUUUUUCAAAAAAGAAAGUGGGUUGUUAAAAUUGGAAGCAUUUUGUGAUGCUAGUUAAAAAUAAUUAGAAACCUUUAUAAACCCUGUAUCCUUAUAGCAGGAAAGCUCUUUUAUUACUAGUCUAAUAAUUGUUCUCCUCGUUUUCUGUUGUGGAUUUCUUUUGAGUCUGUAAGUAUUUAUAAAGAAUACUGGAAGUUAAACAUUAUAUUAAAAAUACUGUUAUUAA